CUCAUUAUUGCAAAUAUGUGUCAUUUAUUCUCGAUUCGUCCUAUUUAAGCGAUAAUUUAACAUUGAAAUCCUAUGUUCGUUCUAUUAAUUUCAGUACAAAGUCAUCCCCUGAUACUUACUGCAUGUCUUUAGAUCAAACGUAAGAUGAUGCCUUAAUUAGAUCAAACUUAAUCCAAUGAGCUCUAACUGUGUUAAAUGAGAGGGGCAUAAAACUUCCAUAAAUGAGAAUAUAGAGGUAAUUAUUAAAUAUGCAUACUUGAGAGAUUAAUUUGUAAAUACAUUAAUCCCUCCGCCAAGUCCUUGGCAUCGCUUUGUCUAUUUUUCAUAGAAUAAUGAUAACUAAUACUACUACUCCUACACUACUUCCACAGAUCAAACUUAAUCCAAUGGCAACCAAUGGGUACUUCCGCCCCUCCAAAACAAAUGGCCUGAUCCAUGUGAUCCUCAGGAGAACCUACUUCUCAAAACAUACUAAGCAAAGAAAAUUAAUUAAGUGAGCAGCACAGAAAGGUUGAAGGAUAUUGUGCCAUAACUUUUAGCUUCAUAUAAUUACAGGGUUACUAGUUACCUGUCUUUAAUUACGUUAUCCUGCAAAGGAUGGAAAGAGAGCAUUAAUACUCGAGCAGUAAUCAGCUACGUGUUUAUCUAAUUCAUAGUAGAAGACUACUAUUAAAAGUGUUUAUACGGAGUGAUUUGUGAGAAUAAUUAUGAAAUGGAGACGUCAAUUGAGGUCCACUAUACAUUUGAACAUCCAGUUACAUGUUUAUAUACAAUGGUAACAGAUGUGUUGAAGCUUUAUGGGCAAACUUUAGUAAGAAAUUAGAAAGAAUAUCAAAAACUCAUUUUGCAUGCGUUAUUAGUGUACAAUCCAAAAUCUUUAAUCUUUUGCUUGAGGUGGUUAUUGACAUAAUGUCGAAGGCACGAGACAGGACUAUUAUAUGUUAAACAUACAAAUACCAAAGAUCAGGACAAAUACCUAUUAUUGGCCAUAAAUAGCUGGAAAUGUGAUCAUAAUCAAGCCCUUUAUCUAUGCUUCAUAGGAGACCACACAGAGCAGUGAAUGGUUGUUUGUGACAUUUGUACAAGAUCAUGUAAAGGUGGCUCACUUGUUUCUUGUUGGUCUCCCGUCACAUAUUAGUUCUGGUAGGAUUUAUGAGUCAUUUUUGAGUUGAAUUGUCAAGAAAAUGGUCGUACCUAAUCCUGGUUAUUUCUACUCUCCUGUUGCUGACGCAUAACAAAGCAGAUUAUACUAAGCCCAACUGAACUUUGUCCCUCUUAGAUCUCCUGUGGUAUUAAUUGGGACGAAAUUUUAUGAGUCAUUUUUGAGUUGAAUUGCGAACAAAGUUGUUGUCGUUGUUCUAGUUUUACUGCUUAUAUCUUUUCUCUUGUAAUUGAUGCAUAAUAAGGAGGCAGAUUAUGCUAGUGCGGGUGAUCUUGGUUCUUUGGUCUCAUCUAUAGAAUAUGCUUAACCAAUAUGUGUAAAAUCUCCUCAUGCUUAUCAUUGUGUAUAUUAGACAUCUUUGUUACCUUUUCUUAGCUUUUGUAUGUCUUGUACGCCCAGUUUGGGUUAUAUGUACUUUCUUCUUUAUCGUGUGAAUUUAUUCAUUUACGCCCAUAUAUCUGAUUCUGAACCAACUUGAUGUUAUUCAACACAUUUUUGAUAGAAAUUAGAAAUUCAGCCAUUGAUACCCAUAUAUCUGAUUCUGAACCAAAUUGGACUGGAGCUAGGCAUUGUGGUUCACUCAGUGAUCAUUGGCAUCUCCUUGGGCACCUCACAGAGCUCCUCAGCAGUAGAACCCUUGUUAGGUGCAUUGAGCUUCCACCAAUUCUUUGAAUAGAGGAAGGAAGGAUUAUCUCGUCGGAUUUUGCCCUGCAGGAUCUACAAUUACUGGACCAAUUGGAAAUGACUGUACUGAUUUGUGGCCUAGGAUUGCUAGUGUAGCCAAUGCCAUUGUGUAAUAUCCAGAUUUUUCUUCAGGUUUCAGUGAGGAGUAGUAGUUUCAUGUUAUUUUUUGUUAUUGAAAAGAAAAUGGAGUUUUUUAAAUAUGGAUCCAUAUUUGUAUUGGAUGUUUUUGUUUUCCCGUGACGUACAUAUAUUGGAAUUGAUAUUCUGGGAUCCAACUGAUAAUAACAUUGUUUUCCUUUUGUUAUGAAA